CCUACGGGAGGCAGCAGUGAGGAAUAUUGGUCAAUGGACGCGAGUCUGAACCAGCCAUGCCGCGUGCAGGAAGACGGCUCUAUGAGUUGUAAACUGCUUUUGUACGGGGGUAAACGCAGAUACGCGUAUCUGUCUGAAAGUACCGUACGAAUAAGGAUCGGCUAACUCCGUGCCAGCAGCCGCGGUAAUACGGAGGAUUCGAGCGUUAUCCGGAUUUAUUGGGUUUAAAGGGAGCGUAGGCGGUCUGUUAAGUUAGAUGUGAAAGUCCGAGGCUCAACUGCGGAAUUGCCUUUGAUACUGGUCGUCUAGAGAGUAGUUGAGGUAGGCGGAAUGUAUGGUGUAGCGGUGAAAUGCUUAGAGAUCAUACAGAACACCGAUUGCGAAGGCAGCUUACCAAGCUACUUCUGACGUUGAGGCACGAAAGCGUGGGUAGCAAACAGGAUUAGAUACCCGAGUAGUC
rnacentral:rRNA from 1 species